UUACAGUAAAGAGGAAAAACUCAUUUAUUUUGCCAUGAAUUUCACACUGUGAAAAAAAAUCUGUCACAUGUACAAACAAUGUUGUAAAAAAUUUAAACAUGACAGAAAAAAUGAAAGCAAAUGCACAUUGAAAGUGUUUAUAAAGAAGUUUCCAUCAUUUUGGUGAAUGCCUACUGCAAGCCAGCCAGGGAGAACACACUACACGUAAGCGAGCUGAAUCCCAAUAAAGGGGGAAGAGAGAGGGGGCAAAAAGAGAAAUGAGAGAGGGAAAAUAUGACACUGAACAAUCACUUGUAAAUUGGAGGGGCACUCACUGUUGACUGUUGCCAGGGUAACUUAUGUUCUAAAAGGAACCCUCUUAUCUGAUUGGUGAGGAGAAAGGUGCAGUGUUCUGUGGGCAGGUUGGUUGGUUAGGGGGUCGACAUCAGGAGGGAGGUGGGUUGGGAGGUGGGAGGUGGGGGAGGUGGGAGGUGGGAGGAGGGUUGGGAGGUGGGAGGAGGGUUGGGAGGUGGGUUGGGAGGUGGGAGGUGGGAGGAGGGUUGGGAGGUGGGAGGAGGGUUGGGAGGUGGGAGGAGGGUUGGGAGGUGGAAGUUGGGCUGUGAGGAGGGCUGGGAGGUGGAAGUUGGGCUGUGAGGAGGGCUGGGAGGUGAAAGUUGGGCUGUGAGGAGGGUUGGGAGGUGGGAGGUGGGCUAGGAGGUGGGAGGAGGGUUGGGAGGUGGAAGUUGGGCUGUGAGGAGGGCUGGAAGGUGGAAGUUGGGCUGUGAGGAGGGCUGGGGGGUAGAAGUUGGGCUGUGAGGAGGGCUGUGAGGUUUGGGUGGCUCAAAUAAUCAAACAGGAAUGUGGAAUACAAGGGAUUGAGGCCAUUCACUGAAUCCACCCAGAACACAUCCUGCCUGGGAAAAUCUAUACAACUGUUAGCUUUUAUGUUGACCUUGACAAUGAUUUCAUCAUGCUAAACUGUACAUGUCAAUAUUUUGGCCACCCAGACAGACAAACAGACAAAAACAUCCAGAAAUCAACUACUGGUACAAAACUGUAGAUGCAAGUAUUUAAGACAUUCUCUUUGUUGGUCUUUGGAACUCUCCCCUGUCAUAUUCCCUCCCAUACAUCAGUGCCCAUAUGGUGAAGAGCACUGCGGUGUCUGCCUGCCCUUUACAUUUACAGGAGUCAGUUAACUACACAUCCUCUUCCUCCUCCUCAUCUUCACACUCACACUACACUAAAAUGUCAGUAUUCUGACUUGAGAUCUACAUGCUUAGCUUGUAUUUUUCAUGCAAGUCUCCCAUUGACAUUGAUAAAUGAUGUACACAGAAGUCUGAGCUACAUACGCUCGUCUCAAGUCAGAAUAUUGAAUAUUUGAGUGUGGGACUUAAAAUAAAGCAGAUAUGCCUCAUAGCAGAGUCGACAUUUAAAUGUGAGAUGUUACUCUACCCAGAGUCCACCUCUAAAACAAACACAUUCCCACCCACUGGCCACUUACACUCUAGGUAAUCUAAAGUGUCCAUCCGUAUACUGACUCCUAACUCCAGACCUCUGACCUGUUUACCUCACUGACCAUAUGGUUGGAACAGGUUGCACUUUGGGAGAAACUGAACUGUGCAAAAAAAGCAGACCAAAGGAUAAACAAUAAAAUAGAGCAUCUAUAACAAGGGUCAUGCAUGAUUUACCCUUAAAAAGAUCUACAUUCAUUUACCUGGAAAUGAAUGCAGGCAGAGAAACAAUAAAUAAAGUAAAGUCAUUUUUGUAUAAAUUAAGAUUUAUGAAACAUGAUACACUGGAGCAAGAUAAGACAAGAAUGUAUUACGUUUCCGUUUUGGUUAGGAAGUUAACAAGAUGCUCUUGGCCAGAGAAGUUCAUCAUGCCAAUCAUACUUGAGUCCCCAUAUCCAUGGUGCAUGCUCUGAAGAGUUCAGAAUAAUCUUCUAGGCAAAGUAGAAAAUGUAUCCAUCAGUGAUCCAACAAAACAAUACUGCUCAUUGGAAUGACUUCGGAACAAACAGUAAAUAGUGUGCAAGAGCAAACCCUUCAGGGCUGGAUGCAAUCCGUAAAGGAAGCUUAACAUUUUAAAGGUCAUUUCCGAUUGAGCCGACAUAUGCAGCUAUUACCGUGAAUGCAGUCUCCGCGAACAUGGAAACAUUGCCUUUCAAUUUCAAUCACGCUGUAAUCCUGAUAUUCAGCACUACAGAUUGAAUCGAGCCCUUAGUGUCCAACUGAGCUUGAAUUAGCAUUUUCUUCAGUUCUGUGUUGCAUUGUCCACUUCUCUUCUUUGAUCAUUGUUAUUUUGGGUCAGGAGAGUGUAGUGACCUACAGCAAGAAUGGCGUUGGGGGAGGCAGGGCGAAAGGGGGUGGUAACUUUACAUCGGUAGACAUGUCAGGACAUGACCCUCCUUCACCCUCUCCCCAACUCCCCUCUCAGACUCAGCUGGUGCUGGCACUUCAAGUCCUCACAACACGUAGUGACAGCUAGAGCCAGGUCUCACAGCAAACUGCCAAAGAGGAACUUCCAACACCCAUUACAACGUUUUAAACCCCAAACGCCUACUAGGUGAUGGGGACAGGAAGAGGAGGGGAGGAGGUUGUCAAUCUCUGUCUUUCUCUCCUCUUCCUUGGCGAGGGCAGAACGACUGGAACAAGAAGAGUCUAAAGUCUCAGAUACACUAGGGAGAGAACUGUUUAUGGAUCAGCUGCUCAUAAUCAAGCUGAAGAGGAGUCUCUGGUCACUAUCCUCUCUCCCCUCAUAUGUAUCCUAUGUCCAAACAGGUGCUCCUUAAUGCUAUUACAUUAAAGGCCCUGUGCAGAGAAUGUUUCUUCUUCAUUUUUCAAAUUUCAUAUCACAGAAUUAUCAGAGUGAGAAGAGCAAAGACAUAGUCCGUAGUACAAGUAUUUCAUGAUUGAACGGAAAGAAAUCCAGGCUGUGUGAGUGUGUGACUGACUGAUAUGUUGAUGGGUGUUUCAUGGAAGGCUGAGACGCACAGGCGCGGUAAGCCGAUAGUACACUGGGAUUAGGGGGUUGUUGGAUUUUACAGUACAAGCAGCAGGUUGCUGGAUCUUACAGUACAAGCAGCAGGUUGCUGGAUCUUACAGUACAAGCAGCAGGUUGCUGGAUCUUACAGUACAAGCAGCAGGUUGCUGGAUCUUACAGUACAAGCAGCAGGUUGUUGGGUUUGUUUGCAUGAAUAACGUCCAAACCUCUCUCUCAGAAACGAUAUGACAUCAUUGACAUCAUCCUGUGUACAAGGUCCUCUCAGGAGCAUUGAUGGUUCUUUACACGUCUGUAAAAUCACAGUAGCAUUAGGGUGGAUCAUGUGUUUUCACACUUAUACAAUGGUUCAGUUGUUUUCAUGAAGAAAAUUAGAAAGUCUUAUUUUUUUAUUGCACAGACAGGAAGUUAAAGAGUGUGAUUCUAUCUUCACAGCUGGAAUCCAGUGGAUGAUGCAAAACAGAGAAAUCUGAGGGAAAAGGAGAGAGAGAGAGAGAGAGAGAGAGAGAGAGAGAGAGAGAGAGAGAAAAAAACAUUAGACAAAGUGUUUAAGAGGUCAUGGAAAAUAUCUCUGCUUUUGCGCCUCGAAAAAAGGCUCAAAAGUAGACUAUUUAACAUAUUUGCUAAGAUUCAAAAGUUCAGGGACAGACAAAUCCCUCAGAUAGACUCCAGACCCUAUCUUCACUCCUUUACUGUCUCCCCUAACUCAUUCUCUUUCUCCCCUCAGUAAAAAAAAAACUAAACAGACACUGUUUUGCCUGCCGUGGCAUUUGCACCUGUUCCUCUAGAGACUUGUCAGAGAUAUCAUGCAUUAGGCUAGAAGGCUAAUGGACUCCUUUGUGAAAUUCAUCCACUUUACUGCCAUUCCCCCGACACAGUUAGGGUUCUUUUUAUCGCUCCCCCAAAUCUAAAUCCAGAUAGAUAUUUCAAAUCUGACGGCCUUUGACUUCUGCUCUGCAUCUUAUUCUGACUUUUCGGUUUUAAAAGCUUUAUUUUUUUCAGUAUUACACCACAGAUGGUUUAUAGCCUUGGGAAGGCCCCAUGUGUAACGAGAGUCUAAUAUCCAUUUUAAAUACAUAUCCUCCUCCCCCAUCUCUCUCGCCUUCUUCCCAUGUGGCCCUAUCUUGAGGGGGAAGCCCAAUCUUACAACUGGCUGUGGUAGCUAGAGGAAACGCACAUACAGGCACACACAUGCAAACACGCACACGAACGCACACACACACACAAGUGCAUAACGGUCGCUCCGCCAACUCUGCCUCCCAGAAGAGGCCUUUCUCAAUUAGGCUUCCAGAAAAGAUCCAGGUCUCGUGAUGGGGAUAUCUGCCUGGAGGUCAUCGCAUAGCGAAGGAUGAAUAACAAUAAGCAAGCAUCUCUAUCCUCUCCAAUGCAUGAGUGGAAUGAGCUAGCUGACUGAUAAUGAAAUCCUCAUUUCAGAUUUUGGAGGAUUCUAUACCCUGGAAUUCCCCAGUCCUUACCAACCUUGGACAUUACAAAAUGGAAUGAUAACAAAUGGGAUUUUAUCAGUAUUGGCACCCUUGCGAGACGAAAGCAGAUCUCUGAACAAAAGCAUGAAUUGGCUUGACACCAGAUACCUAGUGGGGUUGUAACCAGUACAAGCCAGCAGGAUGGACUAGACCUAAUAGAGGGAGAGAGAGGAAGGGAAAAGGGAGGGAUGAAGAGAGAGGAGAGGGAAGUGUAGAGGGGAGUCCCCCUGGGAAGUGUUGAGCAACCAAAAAAGGUGUGAAAACAGACUAACUGAAGAGAUCUGUUUUUCACCCUCCUCUCCUCCCACUAUUUAGUGGCCAGUAAUACGUCAGUGUCACUGUGUCUCUGUGUGGCGUCACCACUCCACACUAUGACUGGGCACCUACACAAAAGAGAGGAGCAGGCCUUACAAUAAAUCAGUGACUGAAAUCUGAAAUAAUUGUACACCCAAAAGCAGUAUGUUGCAUUGGUCUAGUCUAGAGGGUUAAGCUUUCACUGUAGUCUCUGUUUCAGAGAUGAGUCACAGAAGAAAAAUUUGCACUUAAGUCAGGGAGCAUUUCAUCAAAGGAGAGCAAAGAAUAGUGGAGCGGAGAGGCGCAUCAGUAUCCCAGGCCGAUCAAUCUAUUUAUCUAUCCUUCCCUCUCUGUCUCUCCCCUCUCUUUGGCUCAUGAGCUGAGGGAACACAGCCAUUUCACCAAGGUCUGCGAAAUGAGAAG
ensembl:lncRNA